rnacentral:rRNA from 1 species
AGAGUUUGAUCCUGGCUCAGGAUGAACGCUGGCGGUAUGCUUAACACAUGCAAGUCGAACGGAUGUUUUCGGACAUUAGUGGCGGACUGGUGAGUAACGCGUGAGAAUCUAGCUUCAGGUUGGGGACAACAGUUGGAAACGACUGCUAAUACCGAAUAUGCCGAGAGGUGAAAGAUUAAUUGCCUGAAGAAGAGCUCGCGUCUGAUUAGCUAGUUAGUGGGGUAAGAGCUUACCAAGGCGACGAUCGGUAGCUGGUCUGAGAGGACGAUCAGCCACACUGGGACUGAGACACGGCCCAGACUCCUACGGGAGGCAGCAGUGGGGAAUUUUCCGCAAUGGGCGAAAGCCUGACGGAGCAAUACCGCGUGAGGGAAGAAGGCUCUUGGGUUGUAAACCUCUUUUCUUAGGGAAGAAAAAAAUGACGGUACCUAAGGAAUAAGCAUCGGCUAACUCCGUGCCAGCAGCCGCGGUAAUACGGAGGAUGCAAGCGUUAUCCGGAAUGAUUGGGCGUAAAGCGUCCGCAGGUGGCAGUUCAAGUCUGCUGUCAAAGGUCGGGGCUCAACCCCGAACAGGCAGUGGAAACUGAACAGCUAGAGUACGGUAGGGGCAGAGGGAAUUCCCAGUGUAGCGGUGAAAUGCGUAGAGAUUGGGAAGAACACCGGUGGCGAAAGCGCUCUGCUAGGCCGAAACUGACACUCAUGGACGAAAGCUAGGGGAGCGAAUGGGAUUAGAUACCCCAGUAGUCCUAGCCGUAAACGAUGGAUACUAGGCGUUGUGAGUAUCGACCCUCACAGUGUCGUAGCUAACGCGUUAAGUA